CUUGACCAUGGAAUCUGUUGGUCAGAUUAUACCUAUCAACCUCCUCGGGUACUUUACAAAACCCUGUCCUACAGCAGAAAUCCUCAUAGAAUGCUGUCAUGGAGAAGUUAACCAUCUGCUCAAUGCUUUCUGCAAGCUCAGGAAUCUCUGCUACUUUACCCUCAAGAACUGUUUAGGACAUUGUUGAAUUUUAACAUCUCCAGAUGCUGGCACUAAACGCUGGAGCACCUUCCAUCCUUCAGUAAAUGCAACAACUGGAAAUGGCCCCCUAUGGUUCUCAGUGUCCCCUGGAGGGGUAGUAUCAUCUUCCAUACGCCGUGUGAAUCACUAUGACUAGUGUGUGGAUCUGUGUGCUAGCAUAUGGGUAGCCUUCUACUCCUGUGUCCUUCAUACAAAUAUAGAGGAAAUCGCUCAUCUGUAAGUUCAAUGAAAAAGCCGCACAAUGAAUCCAACUCUGAAAAAGCUGAAUGCUUUCACACUAUGUCAUCCUGCCUGCCUGUCCUGCUCUUCUCAGAACCCCAAUCUUCUUAGAUGAAUGCUCAGAAGCUCUGUCUCCUGUAGCCACCUUCAGCCCACAUACCACCUGUGCAAAAAUGUACAUACAUAUCAAUGUGCAUGAGCAUGGUGUCACAACACACAUCUAACUUUGUGUCUGUUUGCAGAUGCGCAUCCAUGAUAUGGACCACUUGUGCCAUUUCUAAGUUUGGGAAAUAUUUAAUAUCAUUCAAAGCCAACCAAUAUGGCAGUAUGCUUUGAAAGUGAAAUUCUAGUAACAUAAAAAUCACAUUUAUCUGAAAAUGAGCAGGUUUCCAUGUGUGAGUAGUAAGGUACCCAUGUGUUGAGAGUGACAUGUAACGUGGGGUUUGUAAAAACCUCCGACAAUGUUGAAUAUAUAAAAGACAUUACUGAAGUAUGCAAUGAUUGGCUCCUUGAUUCAAUGAGUAAUAGGUACCUCUCAGACUAAUUUGAAAGCCUUCAUUUUUUUUUGACAAGCUCUUUAAUUUGCACAGUAUCAUGAAUUAACUUGUAUGUAAACAUAGCAAUUUGAUGAAUUAAAUGCAUUAAAUAAAACGCAUUGAGUGCAUGAGA
rnacentral:lncRNA from 1 species